GACGAACGCUGGCGGCGUGCUUAACACAUGCAAGUCGAACGGAAAGGCCCUGCUUUUGUGGGGUUCUCGAUUGCCGAACGGGUGAGUAACACGUGAGUAACCUCCCCUUGACUUUGGGAUAACUUCAGGAAACUGGGGCUAAUACCGGAUAGAAUCUCCUGCUGCAUGUUGGGGGUUGGAAAGUUUCGGCGGUUGGGGAUGGUCUCGCUGCUUAUGCGCUUGUUGGUGUGGUAGUGGCUUACCAAGGCUUUGACGGCUAGCCGGCCUGAGAGGGGUAACGGCGACAUGGGGACUGAGAGACGGCGCAGAAGCCAACGGGAGGCAGCAGUGGAGAAUAUGGCAGAAUGGGCGGAAGCCUGAGGCAGCAACGCCGCGUGCGGGAUGACGGCCUUCGGGUGGUAAACAGCUUUCGCAUGUGACGAAGCGUGAGUGACGGUAAUGGGUAAAGAAGCAACGGCUAACUACGUG
rnacentral:rRNA from 1 species